rnacentral:rRNA from 1 species
UACGAAGGGGGGCUAGCGUUGUUCGGAAUCACUGGGCGUAAAGGGCGCGUAGGCGGCUUUAUAAGUCGGGGGGUGAAAGCCUGUGGCUCAACCACAGAAUUGCCUUCGAUACUGUAGAGCUUGAGACCGGAAGAGGUAAGUGGAACUGCGAGUGUAGAGGUGAAAAUUCGUAGAUAUUCGCAAGAACACCAGUGGCGAAGGCGGCUUACUGGUCCG